AGUGGAUGGGGAGCAACCUAGUUGUGCGUGUGUAAAGGUAGUGCCAAGAAAAGCGAUGAUCAUGUUGAAAAUCAAUUCCCGGUACCCGAAACCGACACAGGUGGGCAAGUAGAGAAUACUAAGGGGCGCGAGGUAACUCUCUCCAAGGAACUCGGCAAAAUGACCCCGUAACUUAGGGAGAAGGGGUGCCACCGAGAGGUGGUCGCAGUGAAGAGGCCCAGGCGACUGUUUAGCAAAAACAUAGGUCUCUGCAAACUCGAAAGAGGAGGUAUAGGGGCUGACGCCUGCCCAGUGCCGGAAGGUUAAAGAAGUUGGUCAGUCUUAGGAUGAAGCUAGCGACUGAAGCCCCGGUGAACGGCGGCCGUAACUAUAACGGUCCUAAGGUAGCGAAAUUCCUUGUCGGGUAAGUUCCGACCCGCACGAAAGGCGUAACGAUCUGGGCGCUGUCUCGGAGAGAGGCUCGGCGAAAUAGGAUUGUCUGUGAAGAUACGGACUACCUGCAUUUGGACAGAAAGACCCUAUGAAGCUCCACUAUAGCUUGGAAUUGUGUUCGGGCUUCCUGUGCGCAGGAUAGGUGGGAGGCGUAGAAGGUAUUCUUGUGGGGAUACUGGAGCCAACGGUGAGAUACCACUCUCAGGAGGCUAGAAUUCUAACUUAAUUAAGGACAGUUUCAGGUGGGUAGUUUGACUGGGGCGGUCGCCUCCAAAAAGGUAACGGAGGCGUACAAAGGUUCCCUCAGACUGGUUGGAAAUCAGUCGAAGAGUGCAAAGGCAGAAGGGAGCUUGACUGCGAGAAGUACAGUUCGAGCAGGGUGGAAACACGGUCUUAGUGAUCCGACGGUGCUGUGUGGAAGGGCCGUCGCUCAACGGAUAAAAGUUACUCUAGGAUAACAGGCUGAUCUCCCCCAAGAGUUCACAUCGACGGGGAGGUUUGGCACCUCGAUGUCGGCUCAUCGCAACCUGGGGCGGAAGUACGUCCCAAGGGUUGGGCUGUUCGCCCAUUAAAGCGGUACGUGAGCUGGGUUCAGAACGUCGUGAGACAGUUCGGUCCAUAUCCGAUGUAGGCGUGAGAAUAUUGAGAGGAGCCUUCCUUAGUACGAGAGGACCGGGAAGGACGCACCGCUGGUGUACCUGUUAUGAUGCCAAUUGUAAACGCAGGGUAGCCAAGUGCGGAGAGGAUAACCGCUGAAAGCAUCUAAGUGGGAAGCCCACCUCAAGAUGAGUAUUCUGGUGUAAGGUCACGGGAAGACGACCCGUAAAUAGGCACGAGGUGGAAGUGCAGAGAUGUAUGAAGCCGAAGUGUACUAAUAGACCGUCGGCUUGAC
rnacentral:rRNA from 1 species